GCUUAGGCACAAGUUCAGCAGUUUGAUGGGAAGGCGGAAGUCGAUUAAAUGAAAUAACAAAAUCUGGAGGAUUUCAUUAUUAUUUUGACUGACACGUCUUUAAAUUCUCUACGGUUUUUAUCUACCAAACACCAGCAUAAAUUCCACGCAAACUAAGAACUGUCCGUGAAGCUUGGCGAUCCGUAAAGAAGCGAAUAUCGAAACGGAGAAACCUACAGAAGGACAGUAACGAAAAAUCAUGAAUCUAUUAUUCAUACCUAUUUACGGAGUGCUAUAUUUUAUUAUGGAUAGUAUAAUAAAUACUGCAAGUUCAUGAAACGCUGCUGUCUUGAAAUAACCGAUCAAUACACAACUAGAAAUCAUAAGAUAAAAUGCAUUUAUACAGACUGUUUCUGAGAACUGACAGCUUUGCAGAGGUACAAUAUUUAGAGAGAAUACUCCGACUGAAGAACUACUUUCCAAUCACAUUUCCUGAGGUAAAAACUGAAACGAAAAAAUGUAUAAGUGGAAAAGAAACGCAAUUUUGUUUUGGGUCACCAUU